rnacentral:lncRNA from 10 species
UUUGCCGCUGGCUUUUGAGCUAUUCUUAAUCCUGUCAGCACAAUUAAUGAGGGAAAAAUAGUUCCCAGAAGAAAAGUAGCUGGAGGCACUGACCUGCCCUCCAACCCCCUCAUGCCAAGAGGUGCAAAGUCUAGAGAAAGUUUCCCCGGUGAGAGUUACUGGGAAAAUGACUCUCGGUCCUGGGUAAAACUUUCUUUCUUUGUCAACCUCAAGGGCAAGUUAGUUUAUGGCCAAGAAUAUACACGGUGCUUCAAAUGCAAAGGAAGACACUCUCUCUUCAAAUGGUUUACGGCUUAGAUGGGGAAGAAAUGUCUACACUCUAGAAAUGAAAUGAUGAAAGGACCUUACAGAGCAGGGGUACUCCUGAGCGAGCCAGGGGAUUCACAGGUGAUGUCGUGCAUCAGGAUUAGCGCCUCAAUUUAUCGCCGGCUCAAGCUCCACACAUGCUCCAUGACAGGGUGUUGUCCGCAUCCCCGAAAGUUCCAGGAAGGAGACAGUGUUUGCUGAGUGGUGGGCUUUAGAUAUUCAGCAGUGUGGUUGGCUUUUAUGGGCUGAGAAUGUGUGUGAGUGUGAGCGCAUGCGUGCUCGUGCAUGCUGGUGUUGGGCCUGGGGCACUGUGUUGUUUGAAAGGCGCAGGGAACAGACACUUUGUACUCAGAUGCAUCAAUUUCCAACGGCAGCAGAAUGCUGUUUCUGGUUGAAAGAGAAAGAAGAAAGCGAAAUCUUCAUUUCAGCUUAGGAAUGGGGUCCACAUGUUUAGCUCAAAGUGAGUGGAAAUCUCUGAAAAGCAGGUUUGGGCUAAUGAAUGUCAGCAGGCCUUCAAUGUAAAUGGGAUUUGAUUAGCAGGAAGGAGUGUGGUUGGGAUGUUUCCAUUACCAAAGAAUGAUAUAGAGGGGCAAGGCUUGUCUUAAGGGGAUGAAGAAGGUCCCUCCAACUGCCCAAGUAGAUCCUUUUCCAGUAGGCUUUCAGACGCUCAGAAAACAUGGGGCUGACCUUGGCUUCUACCACAUGCCAUGGGGCACGAGACCAUUGUUCCAGACAAGUAAACCUGAGGUGGGGGGAGGUGGCAGAGCUGCGACUGGACACCACGAAUGAAAUAUUCUACAAUACAAAACAUGCCACAUCAGUCCUCAACAUUGCCUUGCCUCUAUGCCCCUCAUUUUAAAGAUGACAAAACUGAGGACCACAGAGGUCAAUAUCCCAGAGUCUGGAACUCUUCAUCCUUGGAGAAUCCAGGUCUUCUGCUUCUGGAAUCCUUCUUCUUUGGGCAUUCUUUUAACUGGUAGCAACUCAUGUCUUGCCAGUCUUGUCUCUGGCUCCCCUACUCUGUUUUUCUUCAAGAUUAAGGGUUUAAAUGAUAUCUAAAGUAGGACCUACCUAGAAAAAAGACCUACAUAAAAUUCCUUUUAGAUUGAUAUGGGGAAGCAAACAAAGGAACUUACAAAUAUACUCUCUUAGGCUAUUAUUUUAAAUAAGCAACGGUUGCUCAGGAGCACUAAUGGGAAACCGUAAAAAAACCUUUUUAUUUUGAAAUAAAUUCAAAUCCACAUAGAAAUUUCAAAAAUAGUGCCAAGAGUUCCUGUAAAUUUUUCUUCAGCUUCCCUCACUUUACCGUGUUUGCUUUAUCCUUCUCUCUCUCUCUCUCUCUGUGUGUGUGUGUGUGUGUGUGUGUGUGUGUGUGUGUGUUUUAUUUCUUUUCUGAAUGGCUUGGGAGUACACUGUACACAUUCUACCACUUUAUCCCUAAAUACAUCAGUACACAUUUCCUAAAUUCAUUUACACAACCACAGUACAGUUAUGAAAUCCAAGAAAUUAACAUUGCUAUAGUAUUAUUCUCUAAUUUAUAGACCUUGUUUGAACUUCAGUAAAUGUCCUACUAAUGUCCUUUCUAGCAAAAAAAAAAAAUUGUUUUCCACUUACUUUGGGAUUGUGUGAAACUCGUGUCUCAUUUAUGGGGACUUACGUGAGAGGGUUGAGUGUGCUGAAGUUUUAGGCUGUUAAACUAAAAAGUAAACAUUACCUUAAAAAUACGUGUAUGUUAUAUCUAUAGUAUCUUCACCUUGAUAAUUCUUCUUUGAUAAUUAUGAUUAAAUGUCAUAAUGGGAAAAUUCAAAACCUUUAUAUCUGUGAACCAAAAAAUAAAACCAGAUUCUGCAUUCCUCGUGCAUUUCAAUUUGGUGUAAGUCUCUUCAAUAUCUGCUUGCUUGCUAGCUGUGCCUUUCUACUUGCCUGCUCACAAGAUUUCUGAAAGUCUUGGUGAUGGUUUUGGCUCUGAAUCCAGACUGAGUAAAACAAAAGUCCAAAGCGUGUUUUGGCAAAGUGUGGUUAGCAAGGGUGAUUGGUCUACAAGUGCGUUUCAGUGAUG